UCCCGCUUAACUCAGUGGUAGAGUGUUGUACUUAUGGGAUACCGCCUCGCGUACAGUUAUGCAAGGGUCGUCAGUUCGAAUCUGACAGUGGGAA